UACGGAGGGUGCAAGCGUUAUCCGGAUUCAUCUGGGUUUAAAGGGUGCGUAGGUGGGCAGGGUAAGUUCAGUGGUGGAAAUCUCCGAGCUUAACUCGGAAACUGCCAUUGAUAACUAUCUGUCUUGAAUUAUCUGGAGGUGAGCGGAAUAUGUCAUGUAGCGGUGAAAUGGCUUAGAUAUGACAUAGAACACCAAUUGCGAAGGCAGCUCACUACGGAUAAUAUUGGACAACUGAGGCACGGAAAGCGUGGGGAUCAAACAGG
rnacentral:rRNA from 1 species